GCUCUGUCUAGAAUAUUCUUUCAUAUUGAUUCUUUCAAUACGACACUCACUAGACAUGGAAUUUUAAGAGGGAUUUUCAAUGGGAAAAGGGGGUUGUGUUCCUCAUUCCCCACAGAGGCACAGUUACAAUUUUGGAUACCGGUGAUAGUUGAAAUGUCCCAAGUAAUAUUCGACAAACCGUAUCCAAUGCCGCGGAAGCAGUCGUGGAAGUUGACUGCACUGCAAUGGCUACUUAGUCGGUUCGCUCACAAAGGCAGAGAUUCACAUCAUGAACAUACAGGGCUUCCUUCCAGAGGCAGAUAUCGAACCCCUGGAGUGGCAAGCACCUCACGACAUUUCCUUUAUAAACGACAAAAUUUUGAAUCACCAUUAGGUUCGGCUUCAUUAGAACCACGCCGGAGAAGUCAAGACCGCGAUUGCAGGACACGAAAAGAAAGCUUUAGUUCAAGACUACCUGCUGAACCUUCCAUAGGACUGUGCCCCUCGACGCUGUGUAUUGAACUCACUGCCACGGCGGAUACUUCGCAAACUACGG
rnacentral:sRNA from 2 species